GACGUAGGGGGCGAACGUUAUCCGGAAUUAUUGGGCGUAAAGGGUGCGUAGGUGGCCAACUAAGUCAGACGUGAAAUCCCCAGGCUCAACCUGGGAACUGCGUCUGAUACUGGAUGGCUUGAAUUCGGGAGAGGGAUGCAGAAUUCCUGGUGUAGCGGUGAAAUGCGCAGAUAUCAGGAGGAACACCGGUGGCGAAGGCGCCACUCUGGGCCGAAACUGACGCUGAGGAGCGAAAGCGUGGGUAGCAAACAGG
rnacentral:rRNA from 1 species